rnacentral:rRNA from 1 species
GGGGGCCCGCAAGCGGUGGAGCAUGUGGUUUAAUUCGACGCAACGCGAAGAACCUUACCUGGGCUCGAAAUGUAGUGGAAUCCGGCAGAAACGUCGGCGUCUAGCAAUAGACCGCUAUAUAGGUGCUGCAUGGCUGUCGUCAGCUCGUGUCGUGAGAUGUUGGGUUAAGUCCCGCAACGAGCGCAACCCUUAUCUUCAGUUGCUACCAUUUAGUUGAGCACUCUGACGAAACCGCCUCGGAUAACGGGGAGGAAGGGGGGGAUGACGUCAAGUCCUCAUGGCCUUUAUGUCCAGGGCUACACACGUGCUACAAUGGCCGGUACAAACCGCUGCAAACCCGCGAGGGGGAGCUAAUCGGAAAAAGCCGGCCUCAGUUCGGAUUGGAGUCUGCCACUCGACUCCAUGAAGCUGGAAUCGCUAGUAAUCGUGGAUCAGCAUGCCACGGUGAAUACGUUCCCGGGCCUUGUACACACC